ensembl:lncRNA
CUGGCCAAUGAGAGGGUUUAUUUAGCCUCUCCAGAACCUAACCUGGGAAUGAGUUCAUUUUGCGGGUCGGUUGCUUUCCUUGGAAGUAGUACCAUAACCCAGGGCAGGAAGAAUAUCUCUGGUUUCAGCUCGGAAGAGGAAAAAGUCAGCCUGCCGGAGCAGGACCAGCACUGUGGAGCCUCCCAAGGCCCAGACUUGCUGUGCGGCCGUGGCAUGUGCGAGGGUGGUCAAAGGAAUUUACCAAUAGUCAAGGGAUAUAAAAAAAUGAGUUUUUGAUCCACUGCUUUCUUGCGAGACCAAGAGAGGAUCGCGCCGUCAUGGCGAAAGGCAGAGAUUCUUAGAUUUGAUUUUAACACGGGGAGGUCUGGAAACCAUCCCAGGGGCACUUUCAUCAGGUCACGUGAUUUAACUGAGGUUAACUGUCAUCCACUCAGUUCUGAAGACAGCCAGGCGUCGUCUGGAGGCCGAGUGCUGUUUUGUUCGACCGAGCUCAGUGCUCUUGGUGUUAAGAGAUCCUCCUGAGUAGAAUUAAUGAGCAAAUAUGUAUAAGUUAGCUAAGGGUCUGCGUGCCAAGCUGCCUUGCCAAGAGAGGCUCCCAGAGCUGGUUCUGAUCCUAGAUGGGGUCAGAAUCAAUUUCUAGCUGCGUCUCUUUGCCUCAAAAGGAAGAUCCAGGCUGCCAGACCCAUCAGGCUGCAGACCACCAGGCACGUGAAGUGCUUGUUCCACGUCUGGACAGUUGGAAGUCAAACGCAGCACAGUUUCUUUCUCAUCGGAACAAGGAGGAGGAGCCGGCUCCGCAUGGGCAACUCGCUCAGGUGUUGUUUGGAACUCCACACCAACUUGUAAAACCUCAAGCUUCAGGAGCGAAGCUCGAAGGAUGAUGAUAUCUACACAAGGACGGACAGAGCGGAGCACAACAGCCUUGAUCCAGAGUCCCAGGAGAACCCAGAUGAGCCUCAGAGGCCCCUGGACAAACUGCACCUUCUCAUUUCCAGCUGGAGGCCCAGACUCUCCACCCAGAGACUCCCCAGGUCCAGUCCUUUUCUCCUCAGCAAGAAACCACAGCUCAGUUCUCACAGCCCGGAGGAAGGGGAACCUUCACCCAGCAGGAGGCCCAGGGUCAGCCUGACCUUGCUGCUGAGGAGGGUGGAGCAGCUGUUGGUGCUCAGGAGGUAAAAGCUCCAUCUCCAGGUCGGAGGGAAGCUCGUCACUCACAUGAGCCAUUGGUCACAGUUAAUGCGGCUGUGGAGGACAUGAGGACCACGCAGGGAGAGGAGGAGGCUCAACCUCCUCCAGGCCAGCAGCAGGCCCCAGCUCAGUCUGGAAAACAGCACAAGGCAACAGUUUCUCCUCUAGGUGAGAGGAGCCUCCAACCUCAUUCAGCCUCCAGCACUGGACGGUGUCACUGUCGAGCUUCAGGAGCUAACCAACAAAGUUGCAAUUGAAACUUCAGCAGGACAGGGCCCCAGCUCCGUCCUCCCCUGAGCAGGUUGGACCUUUCACAGACAAGCAACCUUCUCCAUCCCAUGGCAGGGUCCUAAGUCAGCCUGCAGAGCUUCCUGAGGAGUGUUCGCCAUGCCAGCAGGAACCUCAGCUCUGUCUCCAAACUCCCCUGCUUUUUGAGACAGCCAAGGAGUCUGACUCUCACUUUUCCCUGCCAGCUGGAGAGUGGUGCAGCUUGGCCAGCAGCUGUCUGCCCCUUCCCCUGGCUCCUCUUUGCCCUCCUUGUACCUCGGUGGACAAGGACAGUUUGCUUCAGUGUCCUCCCCGGCUAUCAAACCGCCAUUCUCCACUCCCACAUGAGUGCAGCCAGGCAGGCAGCGUGGUGCCCCCCUUCAGACACUGCUGGUGCAUUUUGAAAGGGGAGAGGGUACCUUGGAUGGCUGGGAUCAGGAAGGGCGGGAUCUGGCCCUUAUUUGCAUACCUGGCAUUCACAGCAAGCCUUCAAGAAGAAUCCCUAGUUCCAGCCCUCGCCUCGCUGAAACAGGCCUGCAAACUGCUCCACAAGUAUUGUAGUCUUUCCCAGGCACUUCCUGGGCUUAGUCUAGGGGGUUCCCUCCUGUGUACUGGCCCCUGUGCUACAGCAGUGAGGACCUACUUCCGGCUCAGUUGAGGCAGCAGCCAUGGGGAAUGUGGAUGGGGCGCUCCUAAAGGUGCUGCAGGCCCGGAACAACAGCACCAGU